rnacentral:rRNA from 1 species
AAAUAUAUUAAAAAGACGAGAAGACCCUAUAGAGUUUUAUAAUUAAAUUUAAUUGAAAUUAUUUAUAAAAUUAAAAUUAAAAUUAAUUUAAUUAUUAUAUUGGGGUGAUAGAAAAAUAUGAAAAACUUUUUAUAUAUUUAUAUUAAGAACAUCAAUAAAUGAUUAAAUGAUCCAAUAUUAUUGAUUAUAAGAAAAAAUUACCUUAGGGAUAACAGCGUAAUUUUUUUUUUUAGUUCAUAUAA